AGAGGGUCAUGGGUCUAGCAACCCAGUGUAUUUCUGGUGACAGAAGUUCACUCUCGACGUGGUUCGGAAGUCACGUAAGGCCGUUGGUCCCGUUGCUGAAUAACCACUGGUUCCAUGCAACGUAACAACACCAUACAAACAAACAAAAAAAUCUAGCAACCCAAUUCCUGAACACUUGAUGAAAACUUGAAGGGUGCCACUUAAUAAUGUGUGCGUGGUUUAGAAUAUAUUGACCACCAAAAAAGCUUUCAUGACUAAUGCGCCUGCCUUAAUUCAUUUAUAAAAGAUUUAAGGUAUUAAGUGGAUGACUCCAGAAUCGAAGAGCCCGUUGGGGCUGAGAUUAUCAUCUCACUUAAUCAUAUUAACACAACUGAAAGAAAUUUUUGCCUUCGGAGCCGAUUUUAUAUAUGGGACUUACUACCAAAGGGCAAUACAGUCCCUGGGAGAAUAUAUCAAGCCCUUAAUAGUUUUACAGAUUUCAGAAUUAUUACUUGAUUUAAGUCGUUCAGAUCACCGAGUUCAAUUCUUCUUGUAUGAAAUGUAUAGGAUGCCACAACAAGACGGAUAUCUUACCAGGAGUGAUCUGACUAAGAACACACUUUUACGCAGUGACCCUUUCCGUUUUGUAACCUACCCAAGUAAGGAGUCCCACCUCACAUGGUUAAGCCUAGCUAGGACAUUGUGGAAGUUAGGUGCCCUAAAAGUACUAUAAAAUGGCAGGAACGAAGGAGCUACUGUUUGUAGUAUAUUUGUAAACAGUAGACUAUAAUGCCUCUAGAUAGUAGCUGUCCAACCCCUUCCAUUCUGUAAUGAAUGUGGUUCCUACUGACAUUAGACAGGUUGAAUACUCUCCGUGUGGCUGGGGCGUGGAAGAAAUUCCUCCAAUCAUCUUAAAAGGAGUUUAGUGCUCAAGACCAGAUUGGUUGCAAAACGAUGCCCCUUAUAUAAAAUUUCGUUGUCUUUUUAAUCUUUGGUAGCGUUUAUCUACGGGCUGCUCUAGGAGCAAGAGCCCGUGCUUGCAUAAGGCCAGCUUAAUCUCCAACAACAAAGGUGCAAAUGAAGCUGAGACACAAUAUCCUUCUAUUGCCCACGCUAGAUGAAGCAAGACAUGGGCCGGGUAGACAAAAGUUUGGCCAUAACCUCUAAAUCAAAGAAUAGACCUAUACCUCGCGAGGGAUGCCACUACAGUACUCAAGAUCCAGAACAGAAAUGAUUCAUGCUGAAAAGAUAUAAGAAAAAAACAAAUCAUCGGAAGAGGAUUAUGGUUCAUGCCUACUCUCAUCCUGUUCCUCCUUUUUGAGGUAAUUAAAGGAAUCAUGGCAAUCAGCCUACAAAGCCAAGUACGAGGAACUUUCAGCCAUUAAGCACAUUUUUCCCCCCACAUAAUUGGUGCAUUUGCUGGUACGGACCCCCAAGGUGAACCGAAGCAGCUGACAACUGUCAUUAAAUCUCCCAUUUAUCAAUAAUGGGAUGCAAGCUUGCAUUACAGCCAAAACACAUGUCGGCAGGGGAAUGGGGCACUGCCUCUGUGUGGCUGCAAGAACACAUGAAUUAGUAACUUCAAAAUGGUUGGUUGCACUUUAAAUUAACUAAUCUACUCCAAGAUAACAGAAAGUCCUGUUUCACAGGUAUAACUACUGUUCAGGUAAAGUGAAAUUUUUGCAUUUAUGUAAACCUGUCUGAUACAAUUACAGUUGUUAUGUUCGAAAGCGUAAUGUAUUCCUGUUUACUUAAAAGAGAUAGCAAUUAUCUAAAUUUUGUGGUUCAUAUAACUUUCCCAACAAUUAUAUUAUGAUUAUGCUCGAUAUCAAAAGUUUAAGAAAAGAAUUUUUUAUAAAAUAUUUCUAAACUAAUACAAAUUAAACACUUGUACCUAUAUACAAUAAUCAAAAUAGUGUUAGUUAAGAGUAAAAAUAAUUAUUCUACAAAUGAAUUUGUAUUUACAAACCAAAAAGAAACCCUCACAGCUGAAAAUUUAGUUUUGUAAAGCCGCCAUUUUACAAACAAGAUGGCCACCCAGAUGACCUAGAAAGUUUAAGCAACAUUGCUUUUUGGAAUCCUCUUGUCAUAAGCUUUCCAAAAAUCUAUAGUGUAUUUCAGAACACAACAGACCUGAUUAAGUGGUUUAAAGGCACCAAUUACUAGUGAUGGGAAAUAAAACCUUGUACUUCUAUUCACCAGUCUUGUUAGGGAAGAAAUCCCUUACAAUAACAUUAUUCCAGGUCAUGAAUUGCAAUCAUUCUGUUCAGAGAAAGAAGCCCAUAAUGAAAACAGCAUUAUUAUGCUUUCACAAAAAGAUUAAACUCCUUUGGCCACCUUCCUGUAGAGCAUAAAACAAAUCACAAAAGCAGGAGCACAUUGAAAACAUCAGUGACCUGCUUUCUAAGAAAGGGACAAAAGAAACAAUCACUGAACAGUGAGGAGAUACAAAGAAGAGAGGCGUGUUAGAUACCAAGACUUGCAUGAACACUGCAAGUAGUACAGUUUGAUAAGUUCAUACAUUCAUAAAUGAAGGAUGAACAGGUAUUAAAUGUAAAGUUUGAUAAGGACAAUGCAAUACUAGUCUAAAAUGUUUUUACAUGAUACUGAUGGCUGUCAGUUGGGGGCACUUCCAUUUUGUAAAAGUGAGUUUCAAUGAUGUAGAAACAAGUUUUUGGAUAUGCUAAAUCAUCACAAUAAUGGUGUUAUUAACCAAAAAUCUUAAAACUUCCUUUACUAGAUUACCGUGCAGCAUAACUACUCUUGCAGACAUUCUUCAACUCUUCUCUACAGCAGCAGCAACAACCCGACCUUUUUAGACCUUGUGUGUCAAAUCUAACCCAGGAAGAGAGGUUCCAAUAAAGAUGGCUAAGGUUGGGAGUGAAAAGGGAAGGAACCAACCUUGAUCAGUUCUUAGUGCAAUAAACAAAGGACUGCUACUCGCAUGGCCUACACAGAAAAAUUAAGAGGUGGUUGGGAUAUUGUGACCUGCUUGAACCAUGGAAGGCUCUUGUUAAAGUACACCAGGACUCCUUGGCAGUGCCCAAAUUCAACUCAACAUAGGAAUCAUGAAGAUGAUUGGGCUGGCAAUGUAACCAAAUCCUAUGACUCAGGACAAGCAUCUCUGCCAGCCCAACUUCUACAACUGACUGACUUUCUCUCAAGGAUGGUGGUUGCAUUCCACAUUGGACAAAUAUGAACUUAUUCAACACUGAUAAGUCAAUGGCUAUAUUCUUGUCUGGUUCAAUCUUUGUAAACUCAAACACUGUACUUGGUCAGUAUAAUGUAGUUAGGUAAAUAAUAAGACAAAAUAAAAAUGAGUAGAGAAAUAUAAAAUUUACACAAUUGUUAAACAGUUAUCAAGCUUACAGGUAUAUAAGAUAAGCCAAAGUACACAAAUUACUAUGAGCAUCCAGGGACAAUGACUUAGAACAUGGUUGGGACUUAGACCUUUGUAAAAUUCAUCCUCACCAACCCACAUCUUCACAGCAGAUUAUCUUGAUCAACAUUAAAAUGGGGAAAAUGAUUGAUGAAAAUCAGUACUAGGGUGUACUAUUAAAUGUAGUCAUUCUUUUGCUAUUGCAUCACGAUGCCUCUUUCUAUAGAACAGAACAAAUAGUGACUUUAAAUCAUCUGAAAAAUUAAGUAAUUCUUUUACAUAGCUAAUGUUUAAAUGCAAGAACAAAAAGCUAAUAUUAAUGAUUAAAUUCACUUAAUCCCCUUUUAUGAAGAUAAUCUACCGUCAAGAUGUGAGCUAGUGAAAACGAGGUAAACACAGGCCAUAGGCCACUACCAGAUCCUGAGUCCUCCUUGUCCCUGGAUGCACCUGGUAAUUUGUGUAAUAUGCCUAUAAGCUUCAUAAUUGUUAAUUGUGAAAAAAUUGUGUAAACUCGGUGUUAAUAUAUUCUUCUACUGUUUUUC